GGAGUGGAUUUUUUUUAUUGGACAAUGUGUGCACUCAGUGGAAGGUGAAUGAGCAGCAGUUUAGGUGGAGUGAAUUAAUAUUGCCCUUUUAAAAGUCCCAAUGCCUUAUCCUCUGCAUUUCGCUGCUAACCUUUCCUGGCUUUUCCUGGAGUUUGAUAACUUAUGCCAACGGGUUGAAGCAGCUGCCCGGGCAGGAUUCAAAGCAGUGGAGGUGGCAUGGCCGUACGAUACUGAAGCAACACAGUUAAAGGAAGUUUUGAAGAGGAAUGGAAUGGAGAUUGUAUUGAUUAAUACCCCACCUGGAAACAAAGCAAAAGGAGAACUUGGGCUUGGAGCACUUCCAAUGCAGCAGGCCGAAUUCCGAACAGGAUUGGAAUCAGCAGUGAAGUACGCUAAGACUGUAGGGUGCAAACAGAUCCAUUUGAUGGCAGGACGUGUUCCAGUGGACUUAGACAGAACAUCUGUUACCAAGGCAAUGGAGACCACAUUUAUAGAAAAUCUGAAGUAUGCUGCAGACAUCCUCUCAAAGGAAGAGAUGCUAGGGUUGAUUGAACCUAUUAACUCUCGAAUCACAGAUCCCCAUUACUUCCUGAAUACUCCGCGUCAAGCUGAGAAGAUUCUGCAGCAAGUGGAUAGGCCCAAUCUGAAACUCCAGCUGGACUUGUUUCACUGCCAGAUAAUGGAUGGGAACCUCACUCAGAACAUCUCCAACUACUUCUCCCGAAUAGGUCAUGUCCAAAUUGCACAAGCUCCUAACCGGAAUGAACCAGACAGUCCAGGAGAGAUCAACUACAGCUACAUAUUCAACUUGCUGGAGAAGUUGGAAUAUCAAGGUUAUAUAGGCUGUGAAUAUUCUCCAAAAGGCAGCACAGUCGAUGGUCUUGGAUGGUUGAGGAGCUACUGGACCAACCAGGACGCCAGAAAGCUGCCUAUUUCAGAUGAAUGUUAACAAUGGAGAUGAAGUGUAUUCUGCCAAAUCCUCCUCUUGAGUAACAGCAGUUUAAUUGCAAUGAAAUCAGAUUGUAAUUCACAUUGAGUCAUGUUCAUUGUCCUAUUUACAUAUCAAGUUAUAACGAGACUGACUCCUUUGAGAAAAUGUGCUCCUGAUAGCUAUCAUUAUCCACGUUUUAAAGGAUUCUCAAAUUAUUUAAAAAAUGUAAACACUGUAUAAAUUGACUUUAAAAUUAAACAGUGGAAAGACUUAA